rnacentral:rRNA from 1 species
UACGUAGGUGGCGAGCGUUGUCCGGAUUUACUGGGCGUAAAGAGCGCGCAGGCGGUCGUACAAGUCGCGUGUGAAAGCCCCCGGCUCAACUGGGGAGGGUCACGCGAUACUGUUCGACUCGAAGGCAGGAGAGGGAAGUGGAAUUCCCGGUGUAGUGGUGAAAUGCGCAGAUAUCAGGAGGAACACCUAUUGCGAAGGCAGCUCGCUGGGACGUAACUGACGCUGAGACGCGAAAGCGUGGGGAGCAAACAGG